UGGGGAAUAUUGCACAAUGGGCGGAAGCCUGAUGCAGCGACGCCGCGGGGGGGAUGAAGGCCUUCGGGUUGUAAACUCCUUUCGACAGGGACGAAGCUUUUGUGACGGUACCUGUAUAAGAAGCACCGGCUAACUACGUGCCAGCAGCCGCGGUAAUACGUAGGGUGCGAGCGUUGUCCGGAAUUACUGGGCGUAAAGAGCUCGUAGGGGGUUUGUCGCGUCGUCUGUGAAAUUCCGGGGCUUAACUCCGGGCGUGCAGGCGAUACGGGCUGACUUGAGUGCUGUAGGGGAGACUGGAAUUCCUGGUGUAGCGGUGAAAUGCGCAGAUAUCAGGAGGAACACCGAUGGCGAAGGCAGGUCUCUGGGCAGUAACUGACGCUGGGGAGCGAAAGCAUGGGUAGCGAACAGG
rnacentral:rRNA from 1 species